UUUUGUACAACUGCAGAUUCCCAGAUUACUGCGGAAGGAAAAAGAGUCCCAACCCACCGUUAUCGUUGCCAAGCCUACGUUUCAGGAGCGGGAGCUUUAAGGAAAAAAAAGAAAUUAAACCGUUUCUCUCCGAUAGGGACCACCGGCGCCGGGGCGCUUGCCUGGAGCCGGCGCCUGAGGGGGAAGGGAGCCGAGGGAGCUCUCUUUCCCUCGGUAGCCUCCUCGCCGAGCAGCCGUUACUUUGUGCUGAGUGACGCCGAGGAGACGCUUCCUUCGAAAGCAGUGGCAGACCAGGAGAAGCAUGCGAAGGAGCGAACUGCUGUACCCCUUCUGUACGCUUUUCUGCUGCUGAUAGCUUGUCAACAACCUGCAAGAUUAUUUCAGGUAUUAUUUACCUUUGAUCCAACCUGGACUACAGAAAAAACAGCAAAUGCAAAAUGUUCCAUGAAGUCUUCAAGACCUAAAUGGGAGGAACCAGUUCAUCAAAAGGAGUAGAUAGGUAAGUACAUAAAUCAUAACUAGAUGGGUGAUUCUAUGAGGCGCGAUCUCAGUGAAGUUCCCAUUUUUCAUUCCAGUGCCCAUGUAGGUCUGGCCCAAAAGAGAUUAAUAACAUGUCAUUAUGUAGGGUUGUUACUUUAUUAAAUAUAGAAUUCUUAUUACAACAAACCUGACUUUUCUUUUUCUGAAAAUGUCACAGGUAUCGAUCUUUGCAUGUGCAAGAGUGAAGGCGAGAUUUUAAAAAAAUAAGCUGCAUUUUUAUACCAGAAAUCUGAAUCUGUUUUGUUUAGCACACCCCCCUUCCCUCCUCAAUGAACAGAAAUUAAAAUCUUUACAGUAAAAGCUUUGGGUGAGUGCUGAUGCGUUUGCUUUUCAUUUUAAAAAAAGAAGGUGCUAAUCAUUUUCCUUUAAGAGAGGCUGACAAUUAUACUAUAUGUAAAUUCUCCUUCCAAGGAACAGACCAGAUUGCCUGGAUCUUUUUGUUGUUGUUCUGGCUUCAGUUUCAGAACUGAAUGCACUCCUUCUGCUCCGUCUGUUUGAGUUUUGACAAUGCAAUAGAUGAAGCUGGAGGAAAUCCCAUGGAUAAGAGUGGUCUAAGCUUCUGCUUUAUCUCAGUUUAAAUUACAUUUCUGUUUAUUAGCUGUAUACCUUGUGAGGAGAACUUGGUGUAGCUCUUAGAGUGGAGGAAUCAUACUUUCAAAAAAGAACCUUUGCCCUGUUUUAAUGUAUUGAAAUUACAAUAUUUGGGCUUCAGUCCUCGCUAUGCAUGCCUACUGUGGGGAUGGGUUUCAAUGAGUUCACAAUAUUUACUUCAGGAUGAACAGACAUAGAACUGAAACUCUCAUAAAUUAACUGAUUAGAAUAAAUGAUUAAAAUCUUUUGACUAAAAAAUGUCU
rnacentral:lncRNA from 1 species